UAGGUGGAAGCUUGCAGAUUUAGAGCGUCUAGCUGUUAACUAGAAGUUUGUGGGAUCGAGGCCCGCCCAUCUA
rnacentral:tRNA from 1 species